GGGGGCAACCCUGGUGGCGAGUGGCGAACGGGUGAGUAAUGCAUCGGAACGUGCCCAGUAGUGGGGGAUAACUAGUCGAAAGAUUAGCUAAUACCGCAUACGACCUAUGGGUGAAAGCGGGGGAUUCGCAAGAACCUCGCGCUAUCGGAGCGGCCGAUGUCUGAUUAGCUAGUUGGCGGGGUAAAAGCCCACCAAGGCGACGAUCAGUAGCUGGUCUGAGAGGACGACCAGCCACACUGGGACUGAGACACGGCCCAGACUCCUACGGGAGGCAGCAGUGGGGAAUUUUGGACAAUGGGCGCAAGCCUGAUCCAGCCAUGCCGCGUGCGGGAAGAAGGCCUUCGGGUUGUAAACCGCUUUUGGCAGGAACGAAACGGCGCGAGCGAAUAUCUCGCGUUAAUGACGGUACCUGCAGAAUAAGCACCGGCUAACUACGUGCCAGCAGCCGCGGUAAUACGUAGGGUGCAAGCGUUAAUCGGAAUUACUGGGCGUAAAGCGUACGCAGGCGGCUUUGCAAGACAGGUGUGAAAUCCCCGGGCCUAACCUGGGAACUGCAUUUGUGACUGCAUGGCUAGAGUUUGUCAGAGGGGGGUGGAAUUCCACGUGUAGCAGUGAAAUGCGUAGAUAUGUGGAGGAACACCGAUGGCGAAGGCAGCCCCCUGGGAUGUGACUGACGCUCAUGU
rnacentral:rRNA from 1 species